AAUCCUUUCACAAAUUGGGAUCCUUCUUGUGACUUAUCUGUGACAAUUUCUAAUGUAGCUCCAAAUUUUUUAUAGUUGUUAGCAAACCAUUCCAAGAGGGGCAUGCUCUCAAUCAGCUCAUGUUCCUGUCCAGUCUAAAGGAGCAAGCAUGAUAUACAGACAGACACAAGAGGAUUAGGAUACAUCAAGGUUUUUGGCCUGCCCCUCUCAAUUCCUCUGACCACCAUCACUCAUUCACCUAUCUAUUUUAAAUCAGCAUGCAGCAGCUCCUGCAGCUCAUACUCGGCGGUUACUGCUCUAACACUCAUACUUGUGUCAUCUUAUAAGCUACCACCAAACAAAGGGACUCAAUCAGCAAAAGACAACAUGUGAGGUAGCAUCUCUAGUCCUGGCUGACCUCUGUAGUUCCAGAUCACCUUGAACUUGCAGGGAUCCUCCUAUCUCUGCCUACUGAGUGUUGGGAUUAAAGGUGUGUGCCACCAUUCCA